UCUCGGAAGUAAUAAAGUGCGUUAACGCUUUGGAGUUAAGGUUGAAUUUAUUAUGUUCAGUUUAAAAAAUUCGCUUCGUUGCGCUUCGACUCUGCGCUAGUAUAAAUUGACCCUAAGUUAGUUAUCGCUUCGAUACUCGUCUUAGCCAGAACUGUAACAUACUGUACAUUGCGUGGGGUUGAGCAUUUAUGGAGUAAACUCGGUGUGGACAUUUGUUUCAAUUCUCUUUUUUUUUUAAUUUUACACGUCGAUGGACAAAGAAAAUUAUAAAUAUAAUUUAGUAUUAUUAGAAUCAUUUUCAAUUAGAAUCGAUAUCGAUUUGUGAUAAUAAAAUAGUAAAGAGACGUGGAUCGAGUGUGGCAGUCGCACUAUUUUGCAUUUGUACUUUGAACUGACGAAUAAUUGUAAGCGGUUGUAAAUAGUUCCGAUAUGCUCAUUCACAAACCGACGCAU